GGCCUUGUGGUCAAGAGGUUAAGACGGCGCCCUCUCACGGCGCAAUCCCGGGUUCGAUUCCCGGCAAGGUCACCA
rnacentral:tRNA from 1 species